CAGAGGAGAUAGUUUAUUGUCGCCAGUAGACCCAAACAAUAAGACAAAUUGCAAAAGAAACUCAGUCUGCUCCCAAAAGCAGAUACAUCCCAGCAGUCGAGUCACAGAGGGCCAUCUCAGUUUCUCUCCCCUUCCAACCACCCCUUCCAACCUCUCUAUAGCACACACAACCGAGAAAGUGCAUAUGUAGUUGGGUUUUCCCCUCCAAGUGCACAAAGCGCAAGAACAUUCCAAAAUUUGCCUUUGGUGAAUCAACUCAAAACACUGAGAAGUUAUUACACCUCCCCACACACACACAUUGUAACUUUUGGGGUGGGUGUGGUGAGAUGUUUGAUAUUUGUAUAUAUAAUAUAUCUAUACCUAGAGAGAGAGACUAUGUACAGUGCAUCAGCAAGCUUCAAUAAAGGAAGACGCCAGCAAGAGGCACAGCAAGAGACACAGGCUGUCCAUCUUUAAGACAUAAGUAGGAAGGAAGAUUUCUUGCUUCAUCACCCAUUAACUGCACCAAGCCAUUCCUAUGGCCUGGAACUAUCCUUUUGGACCUGCCCAGUAUUUUCAAUUGUCUGUCUGCUUAACCUGACCUUGCAAAUAUUUACCAGCCCAACCUCCCCAAGGAGACUCGCAGAGAGAAACAUGGAUCCGAUCAGCUUUUCCUUUUUAUAAACUGGAAAUAACUGUGAAGAGUCCAUAGCUAGGGGGCAGAUAGCUAUUUCCAAAGCCAGUUCCAAGGCACCUCAAAGCAGUUCAGUCCUGAAUAAUUGUGCUUUGUUCUUAUAAGCUAAAUCCCAUGGGUUAGCCAGCCCGUCUCUCUUUGCAGUGGCCCUUAGUUAGGAGGAAGAGACAGAUGGGGGGUGGGGGCAGAGGGAGGUUCUGAGAGAGCAGGAGAGGCUGGGGCAGUUGAGAAAGUCAGCCGACUAAAACCAGCAGAGCGUCGUGGUGGGAACAUGCAACCAGAAGUGGGGCUCGAACCCCACGGUAGGAAGAGGAAGAACUUGUCAGCAUAAGGUAGGAAACAGGGUAGAGAAAUGGCCGCUGUGGAAACAUCUCUCUGGUUUUCCACCUCUACUUACAGAAGCCCCAACUUCACCAUCCUGGGGGAGGCAGCUCUAUGAGUCCUCUGGAGGAGAUUCUAAGAGGCUCCAGAAGAAAAUGCAUAUGAGGGCUGAGCACCUGGGACAGAGAUGGCUCCAGAAGAAAAUGCAUAUGAGGGCUGAGCACCUGGGACAGAGAUGGUUCCUGACCCAGCCCCAUCUGCUGGGGCCCUGAGGCCCGUGAAGAGACAUUGCUUUUCCUGGGCCCCAGUUGAUCAGGGCAGAGGAAAAAAAGACUCCAGGAAUCUUGGGCUUCUUGAUGGAGAGUUAGAACUUCUUAGAAUACACUAGGAAAGCCCGCAAAUAAUUCCCCUAAAUGUUAUGGAUCCUGGAAAAAGCUAAGUUCCCAACAUCAGCACAGCUCCUCACUCAUCCUGGGAGAGAAGGACACUUAAAGGGUGACCAAAAAAAUGAAAUCUGCAAGCUGCAGAAAUGUAUACAACCACUCUUGGUCUCAGCUGGCAUGAGGUGCCCGCCACCCACCUCUCUGCCCCCAGCUGGCUGGCUCGAGGAUGGGCAGCGUCCAUCUGCUGCAGGCAUCCUGGUGGCUUAGCCCACCCGCAUUGGCAGUGUGUUGAUUGGCAGUUAGGUACUGAGCUGAUGAGUUUAGCAUUUCCAGAUGGGCUUGACUCGCUCACCUCACCCAGGUGUUACCAGGCUGGUUGCCCAUCCCCCACUCUGCACCCACUCUGCCUGGCCUCUGCGCCCUUGACCCUGUUGUAUUGCCCCUCUUCCCUGCUGUUUCUCCCUUCCCAGGGCACGGAUUCUAGAAUCUCUUCAUCUUCCCCAACUGUAGCCUUGGAAGCAGUGUCUUGCAGAGGUGGAAUUAGUUGCACCAAAAAGUUAAUCUUGGUCCCUACAGUGCCAACCUGGCAGUCCCCAGUGCUUAUGGCUUUGUGUAUAUCCCCAGUGCCCGGCACAGUGCCUGGCACAUAAUAGAUGCUCAAUAAAUGGUUGCUGAAUUGAAGCAAAUUAAGCUGAAUCUCCCAGAUGAUAUUGCUGUCUCCCCAAAUUGGCAAUCUGAUGGGCAGAGGCAGGGAUUGGUCCCUGAGACUGUCACGGUCCUGUCUCCACCCCCUUUCCUAGACUUAUUCCCUACCCUGGGCACCUGACUCCCUGAGCAGGGGUGGGGCAGAGCUCCUGGAAAGGCUGGGAAGUGCUGGGGCAGGGAAUGGGGCAUUUGCCAGCAGCUGUGCCCUUCACACUUGCUCCCUCCCUCCCUGCUUCCCUCCACUCCUCCUCAGUCCUGGCCAGAGGGGCUGGGCUCCUGGGAGAGGGGCAGGGCUAGAGAAGCCCACCCCUCCAACUCGCCCCAUCAUGGACCAGGCCACAGAGGCCCCUCCCACUGGGAAAAUGAUGGCUCUGUUGCUUCAAACUGGAGACCGAGGAGCCAGAGAAGAGGGCAGGACCCUCAGUUUCUGUCAGUUGGAACCUCAGUUUCCCCAUUUUAAGUGAGUGACUUGGCUAGUUGAUCUCUGAGGAUCUUCCAAGGUCAUGGUCUCAGAGUCAGUGUUUCUGCCUCUUGCUCCUUCUCUCAGGCCUAAUCAAUUUCCAUUGAAUGUGAGUGUAAUGGCAGUGAUGGUUGGCUCCCCACAAUUGCCUUUUUUUUUUUUUUUUUUUUAGAGAUGGAGUCUCUCUAUGUCACCCAGGCUGAAUUGCAGUGGCACUAUCACUAUCUCAGUUCACUGCAACCUCCGCUUCCCGGGCUCAAGCGAUUCUCCUGCCUCAGCCUCCCAAAUAGCUGGGAUUACAGGCACACGCCACCACACCCAGCUAAUUCUUGUAUUUUUAGUAGAGAUGGGGUUUUGCCCAUUUCUACUAAACAGAUGGAGGUAAUCCACCCGCCUUGGCCUCCCAAAGUGCUGGGAUUACAGGCGUGAGCCACUGUGCCUGGCCUACAAUUGUCACUUUUAUCCCCACGAAGGGAGUUGUUGGGAGAGGAGCAAGUAGCGUGGCCGCAGAUGGGACAGGGCUGGCAUUGGCGGCUCAGGUUCCAAGGCCUCCCCUCAUGCUGGCCUCAGGCUUUCCCUUCCCUCUCUGUAGCCAAAAGCCAGGUGGAAACCCCACCAAGGGCAACUGGGAGAGUUCUCACUGAAGCCCCAAAGAAAGCUGCCCCACCCUGUGCAUGGCCUCCUCAUUUCCCAGCCUUGGCUGCCCCUGCCCAGGCGAGGGUGGUUACCCCAUGGAGAAGGCAGAGCCUGCAGCAACCUGCAUUCACCAUGGAGCCCCACCCCUCAGCCCCUCAGCUGACUUUGAAACUGGCCUCUGUUGGUGGGUCCCCGCUGGGAAACAUGGCCCCCUACCUGGAGCUGCUCUUCCAGUCUGGCCUCAUCCACAGUCCUAAGGGAUUAGGAGCCAACGGGAGCCCCAAGGAGGCCACUAGCAAUGGAAAUGAGGGCCCAACAUGGCCUCCUGGGCCAGGGCACAUGUCCAGCUCUGCCUGCAGCCCUGGCUUUCCGUCAGUGCCCUGGAAUGCACAGUCAUCCCCUUUAACAUGCCCCUCCAAGUUUCAGGAACUCAUCC
rnacentral:lncRNA from 1 species